GAUGAACGCUGGCGGCGUGCCUAAUACAUGCCAGUCGAGCGAACAGACGAGGAGCUUGCUCCUCUGACGUUAGCGGCGGACGGGUGAGUAACACGUGGAUAACCUACCUAUAAGACUGGGAUAACUUCGGGAAACCGGAGCUAAUACCGGAUAAUAUAUUGAACCGCAUGGUUCAAUAGUGAAAGACGGUUUUGCUGUCACUUAUAGAUGGAUCCGCGCCGCAUUAGCUAGUUGGUAAGGUAACGGCUUACCAAGGCGACGAUGCGUAGCCGACCUGAGAGGGUGAUCGGCCACACUGGAACUGAGACACGGUCCAGACUCCUACGGGAGGCAGCAGUAGGGAAUCUUCCGCAAUGGGCGAAAGCCUGACGGAGCAACGCCGCGUGAGUGAUGAAGGUCUUCGGAUCGUAAAACUCUGUUAUUAGGGAAGAACAAAUGUGUAAGUAACUAUGCACGUCUUGACGGUACCUAAUCAGAAAGCCACGGCUAACUACGU
rnacentral:rRNA from 1 species